rnacentral:lncRNA from 1 species
UGAUGGAGACAUUGCAGUUAGCACAGCAGAAAUAUGUGUCGCCCUCAUGAAGCAUGCAUUCUAGUAGGGAGGGACAGCACAUCAAUAAAGGAAGAUUAUUUCAUACGGGGACAAGUUCUAUAAAAAUAAUAAAACUGUAGUGGAGAAUGAGUGACUAAGGGUGGUCAGUUAGCUCUUAAAAUAACAAUUUUAUAUUGAAUACUAUAGUGAGUUACACAAUCUUUAUCUGAGUGAAAUCCUUUGGUACUUAUUCAGACAAGAGUUCUGACUCUCAUGCUUGAGGAUAAGAUUUUACAUUUCAGUAUUACAUUGAAGAUGUUUCAUUUUUAACCAGACUAACUUAGUAUAUUGUUAUUUUUAAUGUGACCAAAGAAAUAUUUUCAUAGAAGCUAAUGCUGAGUCUUUUGAUAAUUUGCCGUAUCUUAGUCAAUCCCAAAAAAUUUAUUUUCUACUAUUUACAUAUUAUCCUAGUGGAUAUUACAUUACUUACUGAAGCCUUUGGUUCUAUGUUUCAUCUACUCAGACUUAAUUCAGGAAGAGCUUCAUCCAGAUGUUUUGUUUAUUUGUUUCUCGAUUACAUGUAUGAGAUUUCAGAAUUUAUGAGAUCAUAGGUCAAGUGAAAGGUCACAGUUGAGAGGUCAAGUAAGAAGCUAAAAUUUGUGAAACCAAAGAAAUGACAGGACAGUGCCAAAUGAAAGGUCAAAAGUCAAGUGACAGACUCAGUACAGAUGAAAGCAAGUGUUGGACAAAAUCAUCUGGCAACACAGUACACUAUAGACCAUCAGUGCCCUUGUGAUCAUGUGGCUGACUGGAGGCUGUGGCUGGCUGGUGCUGCCCUGUACCACAUAUAGCUAGCCCAGCAAAAGAUCAGAAUUCAAAAAAAUCCAGUUUCUACUGAAUGCGUGUCUUUCUGGACCAUUAUAAAGUAAAAAAAAAGGUUAUGGUAUUGUCAAAAAAAGAAGCAAUUAGUGGCAAAGAAAGCAUAAGUAUGUACACAUAUGUUUAAUGUGCUGUAAAAUACAAGGAUCUGUACAAUUAAAAAGAAGGUGCUUUACCCUUUAACAUGUGCCAAACGUCUUUCACCCCCAUUUUACUGCAUAUACCUCCUGUUUCUACAAAGCACCCAAGAAGUAGUUCAUCCCCAGAUGACAUUUCUGAUACCGCAUGACCCAGAUUGCCACAAUUUGGGUGAAAUAGCCUGAAGAAUUAUCAAAUAAGAUAGCUAGGAUGAUGUUCUGUAUUCUCUGGUGUUGGUACAGCACCAUGUUUGGGACCCAGGUUUUCCUUUUUAGUCUUUGAUCGUAACAUACGCCUGCAUCAUGAGUGACUUUAAAUGAUCAAAUUCAAGUGGCAGCAGAUAUUGCACUGAGCUUAGAAAAAACAGGUCUUGUGCUAGUAUUUCCAUUAUGACUGUUUAGUAUAGUAUUGCCCGGAAUAUGGCAAAACCACCAGAGAUAAUUCUUUUUAAGAAAAUCAUCUGUUUAGCCAAAUCUGUGGUAGAUUUGCGGCACAGACUACAGUAGAGGAGGAACUCAGUAUAAACCACAGAAACUGCUCAGGAACGCUGCAAGGCUGUUGUAAUCAGAUUGCUUGUAGCUACUUGGGCUGUUGUUGGUUCCGUCUGUUGUGAUGAGAGCACAGGGCUAGCUACUAGGUUCUCUGGCGUUCCCAGCAUUGUCUGUUCUGUUGACCUUUGAAUGUAUUUGUCUCAAUUGUUCUUGGGCUGUGGGAGAAAGACUUUCGGAUGAGAAAACAAUGGUUCCCAUCAGGGACACUGCUCCAUACCCACCCUUUGUUUUGGGCUCACUUUCACAGCAACAAAAUCCCAAGUUUGGUCAUGCUGCCCUCCUGCCUCCUAUGUGCUGAUUCCCACUUCUGAAAACACAUCUUGAAUGUGCCUCUUGAAAUGUUGUCAUUUUUCUAAUCUUGUUUCCUUUUUAAAACAAGCAUUUUAUUCCAUGAUUUGCACAGUUCUGCAUCUAUAUCAAUGACUUUUCACCCAUUCCCCCUUUCCAACGCAUUUCUUGGGCAAAAGUUUGUGUCCAGCCUGCCAUUCAGGAAAGGCAAAGGUUUAGCUCAAAUGUGCUACUUUGUGGUAGAUGGUUGGGGUCAAAGCCUGUUCAUGAGAUCUCUGUCCCCAUAACCAGAAAACAAAUCCCACUGAUACCUACCAAUCCUUAUGAUCUGAUACAGAGAAAAGAAAAUCUAUACAGAAUUCUCAGAAACAUUUACUCUAUAGGGCAUUUAGCAAAUAAAUUUCUGGUGUAGGAAAAAUAGGAUAUUAUACCAAAAUUACAACAGAAAGCUCCCCAUCAUACUCCUUAGUAUCGAUACCACACCAUAUCCUAGAUGAAAGGCACCCCCGUCAGUGGGGCAUAGAAAAAACCUAGGGCACGGUAGUCAACUAGAGUAUUCCAGUGGCUCAGAAAAAAAUUCUGAAGCACUCUUCCUUUUCUUGUGAAGAGCUUUUGGGGUUUAAUAAUGGCAGGAGUUCCAGGUUGCUCUGCUUCUCUUGGCCAGGCACUUAACCUACAGGAGGUUCCACCUGAGGUCAUGGGAGUCACUACUAGUGGCUUGGAACUUGAGGAAGAAUAGAGGGGCUCACGGUCCAAAUCAGAGGAGAUGGAGUUUCUGACUUUCAGAGUAAAGCAUGAAUACCUUUUCCUAUGUACAUACUGUUAA